UACAGGGGGUGCAAACGUUGCUCGGAAUCAUUGGGCGUAAAGCGCACGUAGGCGGUCUGUCACGUCGGCUGUGAAAUCCCGAGGCUCAACCUCGGGUCUGCAGUCGAUACGGGCAAACUAGAGUAUUGCAGGGGAGACUGGAAUUCCUGGUGUAGCGGUGAAAUGCGCAGAUAUCAGGAGGAACACCGGUGGCGAAGGCGGCUCUCUGGGACGGUACUGACGCUGAGACGCGAAAGCGUGGGG
rnacentral:rRNA from 1 species